rnacentral:rRNA from 1 species
AUUGAACGCUGGCGGCAUGCCUUACACAUGCAAGUCGAGCGGGGGAAGGUAGCUUGCUACCGGACCCAGCGGCGGACGGGUGAGUAAUGCUUAGGAAUCUGCCUAUUAGUGGGGGACAACAUCUCGAAAGGGAUGCUAAUACCGCAUACGUCCUACGGGAGAAAGCAGGGGAUCUUCGGACCUUGCGCUAAUAGAUGAGCCUAAGUCGGAUUAGCUAGUUGGUGGGGUAAAGGCCUACCAAGGCGACGAGCUGUAGCGGGUCUGAGAGGGUGAGCCUCCACACUGGGACUGAGACACGGCCCAGACUCCUACGGGAGGCAGCAGUGGGGAAUAUUGGACAAUGGGGGGAACCCUGAUCCAGCCAUGCCGCGUGUGUGAAGAAGGCCUUAUGGUUGUAAAGCACUUUAAGCGAGGAGGAGGCUACUUUAGUUAAUACCUAGAGAUAGUGGACGUUACUCGCAGAAUAAGCACCGGCUAACUCUGUGCCAGCCGCCGCCGUAA